GCGAGAGUGGUGGAAUUGGCAGACACGCAAGACUAAGGAUCUUGUGGCCGCAAGGCUGUGAGGGUUCGAGUCCCUCCUCUCGCA
rnacentral:tRNA from 1 species